UGGGAACCUUCCCUAUGGUUCGGAAUAGCUCAGGGAAACUUGGGAUAAUACCGGAUAAGCCCUUCGGGGAAAGAUUUAUCGCCAUUGGAUGGGCCCGCGUCGGAUUAGCUAGUUGGUGAGGUAACGGCUCACCAAGGCAACGAUCCGUAGCUGGUCUGAGAGGAUGAUCAGCCACACUGGGACUGAGACACGGCCCAGACUCCUACGGGAGGCAG
rnacentral:rRNA from 1 species